rnacentral:rRNA from 1 species
GACGUAGGGCGCGAGCGUUGUCCGGAAUUAUUGGGCGUAAAGAGCUCGUAGGCGGUUUGUCGCGUCGGCUGUGAAAACUCGGGGCUCAACCCCGAGCCUGCAGUCGAUACGGGCAGACUAGAGUGCGGUAGGGGAGACUGGAAUUCCUGGUGUAGCGGUGAAAUGCGCAGAUAUCAGGAGGAACACCGGUGGCGAAGGCGGGUCUCUGGGCCGUAACUGACGCUGAGGAGCGAAAGCGUGGGGAGCAAACAGG